rnacentral:rRNA from 1 species
AACUCCUACGGGGGGCAGCAGUGGGGAAUAUUGCACAAUGGGGGAAACCCUGAUGCAGCAACGCCGCGUGAAGGAAGACGGUUUUCGGAUUGUAAACUUCUGUUCUUAGUGAAGAAAAAUGACGGUAGCUAAGGAGCAAGCCAUGGCUAACUACGUGCCAGCAGCCGCGGUAAUACGUAGGUGGCAAGCGUUGUCCGGAAUUACUGGGUGUAAAGGGAGCGCAGGCGGGACUGCAAGUCAGAUGUGAAAAUUAUGGGCUCAACCCAUAACCUGCAUUUGAAACUGUAGUUCUUGAGUGAUGGAGG